rnacentral:rRNA from 1 species
AUUGAACGCUGGCGGCAGGCUUAACACAUGCAAGUCGGGCGGGGUGAUGGUGCUUGCACUAUCACUUAGCGGCGGACGGGUGAGUAAUGCUUAGGAAUCUGCCUAUUAGUGGGGGAUAACAUUUCGAAAGGAAUGCUAAUACCGCAUACGUCCUACGGGAGAAAGCAGGGGAUCUUCGGACCUUGCGCUAAUAGAUGAGCCUAAGUCGGAUUAGCUAGUUGGUGGGGUAAAGGCCUACCAAGGCGACGAGCUGUAGCGGGUCUGAGAGGAUGAUCCGCCACACUGGGACUGGGACGCGGCCCAGAGUCCUACAGGAGGCAGCAGUGGAGAAUAUUGGACAAUGGGCGGAAGCCUGAACCAGCCAUGCCGCGUGUGUGAAGAAGGCCUUAUGGUUGUAAAGCACUUUAAGCGAGGAGGAGGCUACUUUAGUUAAUACCCAAGAUGAGUGGACGUUACUCGCAGAAUAAGCACCGGCUAACUCUGUGCCAGCCGCCGCCGUAAUAC